rnacentral:rRNA from 1 species
AGAUUGAACGCUGGCGGCAUGCCUAACACAUGCAAGUCGAACGGGAGUAGCAAUACUCUAGUGGCGGACGGGUGAGGAAUACGUAGGAAUUUGCCCUUAAGUGGGGGAUAACCCGGGGAAACCCGGAUUAAUACCGCAUGACCUCGAAAGAGCAAAGUGGGGGAUCGCAAGACCUCACGCUUUUGGAGAAGCCUACGUCGGAUUAGCUAGUUGGUGAGGUAAUGGCUCACCAAGGCGACGAUCCGUAACUGGUCUGAGAGGAUGAUCAGUCACACCGGAACUGAGACACGGUCCGACUCCUACGGGAGCAGCAGUGGGGAAUAUUGGACAAU